AACCUAAAGAAACACAUAUUUGGCAAGGCUUUCCUAGGAGUCUUUGACAUUUCCAGGAGUAUAGUUUUAUGACCAGGUGGUAGUUUGACCCUUCCUCUGUACCCUGAACCUAAAGAAACACAUAUUUGGCAAGGCUUUCCUAGGAGUCUUUGACAUUUCCAGGAGUAUAGUUUUAUGACCAGGUGGUAGUUUGACCCUUCCUCUGUACCCUGAACCUAAAGAAACACAUAUUUGGCAAGGCUUUCCUAGGAGUCUUUGACAUUUCCAGGAGUAUAGUUUUAUGACCAGGUGGUAGUUUGACCCUUCCUCUGUACCCUGAACCUAAAGAAACACAUAUUUGGCAAGGCUUUCCUAGGAGUCUUUGACAUUUCCAGGAGUAUAGUUUUAUGACCAGGUGGUAGUUUGACCCUUCCUCUGUACCCUGAACCUAAAGAAACACUCAUUAGAACCCGAUUGCCCCCUCUUUGACCUUCAGAAAUACAGAACAUAGUUGACGUGAGAAGCAAAGGUGUCUUAUAAUACCAAUCCCAGGAUAUAGUUAAUAUUGUGUCAUCAAAACCCAGAUUAAAUUCAAACCUCUCCUGCGUCCAUCCCACUCUGAUUGGGCUCAUGUUAACGCCGCCCUGCACUGUGACGCCUUGUUUAAGAGGCCCCCGAGCCAAGAAGGACGGAACAGAGAGGGAGAAAGCUGUUGCUGAGAGGGAGAAAAUAUAAGAAAGAUUUUAAUGGAAGCGACCAAGAUAGAUAAUGGAGAGAGAGAGAGAGAGAGAGAGAGAGAGAGAGAGAGAGAGAGAGAGAGAGAGAGAGAGAGAGAAUUACCUCCACUA